rnacentral:lncRNA from 1 species
GUUCGCCUUGCCUGUGCGCUCCAUCCCGCUGCAGCCGCCUGAGCAGCCCCAGGAGGGGGAGGACACACCAGGAGGGAGGUUAGAUGCUCACCUUUGUGUUGAAUAUUUGUUUUUAUAAUAAUUGCCUGCUCUGAGCUUCUCUGUGCCCCCGGGUGCCAAACCCCAGGCAUCACCUUGUACCACUGCACAGGGAGGGACAAAUGGCCUCGGGAGGGGGAGAGGGCAGCGCUGGGACCUGCUCUCCUGCAGGAUGAGGGAUGGCAAAGAUAAAUAUAUAGAUAAAUAUAAAGAUAAAAAGGGGGAUGGACCCAGCUCCCCCCGCACACCCCAGCAGACUGCAGAAGUUAAACCUCCCCACAGCUGCAGGUACAUGGGUACAGCCUUGGAAUGCUUUCUGGCAAUUAAAAACUGCCUUUUCCUCUCUCCUGAAGGUCUGGGGCUCGAUCAUCCUUUACUGCCUAAUAAGGAGAGCUUUUAUAUUUUGGCAUUUCUUUUCCCCUGGUGUUAUCAGUGCUGAGGAGAAAAAGCCAAAGCAACACAGAAAAUCAGUGCAGCAGGAAGUUAUUGGGCCGGGAGCAGGGCAGGAGGUUUCCUGGCAGGCCCUGGGGAGUGUGGAGAAGAGCAUGUGGGAUUAUAUUGUGGCCCCACUGAGCUCCACGUCCUGUGAACAUCCCCGGGAUGGCCCAGCCAUGAAUAUGCGAUAUAUUCAGCAUCUGUGUUCAAAACUGAUACACUUUUCUAUCUUACAACUCCUCAUGUUUUUUUAUCGGCUGCAUCAGCCUUCUCCACGCGAGAACUGCUCCACUAUCAGCCAUACCAGUGUUACAGUAAAAGAUAUUAUAAAAGAUAUUAGAAUACACUCAAAGGUGUGUUUUGCUGCUCCUCUCCUCUUUGGGAACUCAGUUUUGGGUGGGUUGUUCAAACGCCAGCUCUCGGGUCCCCCAUCUCCACGCGGGGAGCACAAAGGGAGCCCCCUUUGAAGGAGGAGGGGGCUGUGCCCUGCCUGAGCCUGGAAUUCUCCCUGUAACUCUCCAAAACUUCUUUUCUCACCACCAGAGAAAAGUGCUCAGGGCAGCUAUUAAAGUGUAAUCAAUCAGUGUCAAAUAAAAGUCAUCAGAAUAUGACUAAGAGUCUGAUU